ACUCCCAUGGCGUAUUGGUCACUGCGCUCGCCUUGCACGCGGGAGACCCGGGUUCGAUUCCCGGUGGGGUCA
rnacentral:tRNA from 1 species